rnacentral:rRNA from 1 species
UACAGAGGGGGCAAGCGUUGUUCGGAAUUACUGGGCGUAAAGGGCGCGUAGGCGGCCUUCUAAGUCGAACGUGAAAUCCCCGGGCUCAACCCGGGAACUGCGUCCGAUACUGGAAGGCUUGAAUCCGGGAGAGGGAUGCGGAAUUCCAGGUGUAGCGGUGAAAUUCGUAGAUAUUCGCAAGAACACCAGUGGCGAAGGCGGCUUACUGGUCCGGUUCUGACGCUGAGGCGCGAAAGCGUGGGGAGCAAACAGG